UGCCAAAACAUUACCCUCUCUCUCUCCCCCUCUCGCUCUGAUCUAUGGCGGCCUCGUCUUCGUCGGCAUCACCCUACACUUCCGAUUCAUCGUCUUCCUCUUCUCGUCGUCGCCGUCGCCGUAGAACUCGCCGUGAAAAAGAUCGGGACGCUCUUAGGAUUCGCAAGAAGUCUCGCUCUCAUUCUAAGCGUCGUCGCAGGCACCGCCGCUCCUCCUCCAAUUCUUUAUCUUCCUCCGACUCCGAAUCCGAUUACUCCCGAAGCCAUAGCUCUUCUCAAAGCGAGCCUGAAAUGUCAGGCCGUUCAAAGCGGCAUAAGAAGAAUGAUGGAACGAAGAAGGAGAGGGAGCGAAGUAAGAGUCGUCACCAUAAAAGGCGUAAGCAUAAAGCUAAAGAGUUGGGGUCUGUGGCAUGAUGAUCGGGCUGUUGAUUGAUUUGCCUGCUGGUUUGUUGUGCGGAUUUGUCCUGGCAAUCGGAGUCGAUUUAUAGAAACAGCCAGAAGAGAGAAGUAGCAGCCCUGUGCAGCUGUCUAAGUUUUUAGCGCGGGAGGAUGAUGGUACUCGACGGAGUGCUGUCUCUGGCAAAAAGAUAUUGUUGAAACUUGAUAAAUCAAAGGAAGACAAAGCUGAGGAAAACAAAAGAAAUGAAUUGCUGAAGUUCUUGAACUCUAGCUUUGACUAAUGGGUUGGGUAUCCUUGAAAUGAAGGAAAGAGGCAAAUGAUAGAAGAAUGGAAUAUUAGCUGCUGCUGCUGCUGCAAGAAAAAAUCAGUACAACCAAUAGCUGUGUUGAAUAAGUUGUAGAGACAUUCAAGCUUGUGAGCUUUCUUCUUCCCUUGAUUGAUGUUUUGACGCAUAUGGAUUGAGAUCUAUUUUAAUUAUGAAAAGGAAUUGAAAUU